GAUGAACGCUGGCGGCGUGCCUAAUACAUGCAAGUCGAGCGAACAGACGAGGAGCUUGCUCCUCUGACGUUAGCGGCGGACGGGUGAGUAACACGUGGAUAACCUACCUAUAAGACUGGGAUAACUUCGUGAAACCGGAGCUAAUACCGGAUCAUAUAUUGAACCGCAUGGUUCAAUAGUUAUAGACGGUUUUGCUGUCACUUAUAGAUGGAUCCGCGCCGCAUUAGCUAGUUGGUAAGGUAACGGCUUACCAAGGCGACGAUGCGUAGCCGACCUGAGAGGGUGAUCGGCCACACUGGAACUGAGACACGGUCCAGACUCCUACGGGAGGCAGCAGUAGGGAAUCUUCCGCAAUGGGCGAAAGCCUGACGGAGCAACGCCGCGUGAGUGAUGAAGGUCUUCGGAUCGUAAAACUCUGUUAUUAGGGAAGAACAAAUGUGUAAGUAACUAUGCACGUCUUGACGGUACCUAAUCAGAAAGCCACGGCUAACUACGUG
rnacentral:rRNA from 1 species